AUUAGUUGCAGAUUACCGUCUUUAUUGUUUUAUACGUGUGGUUCAGGGCCGUUUCUGGGGAAGGGGUGUAGGGUUUAAGAGCUGUACCUUGCGUUCGAAAAAAGAACACGAACUAUAAUAUAAUAAAAUAUGAAAAUUGUAUCAAAAAUUUCGCUCCGAGACUCGCAAAUUCUAAGGAAGGGCCUGGUGUGUGUUUAUAACAUUAAUUAUUUCUAAAUCGAUUAGUUUUUUUACAACUUUUUUUUUG